CGCCAUUGCUUGGUGAAAAGAAUUCAUUAGUGGAUAAUCCCGACCUCGUAAAAUUUGAACCUCCAGUUAAAUGUAAGUUCCUUGCUCUCUUACUUUGAAGCACUUUUUUUCCUGCAGAUGCAUAAUCUUUUGCAUCAAGCUUAAUGUCCACGAGUUCCGUUUGCUAUUCUUUAGCAUGCAUGUGAUAUGGUAAUGUCCCAUUACCUACUCGGGCAGAGCUGCCAGAACUAAUCUCAUUUUCGAUAAUAAUCUGAGCGUGGAGUGAUGUAGGCUACUGUCAAGUAUGAUGUUGAAAAAAAUACUCGGAACAACUUAGAGAAGUCCUAUAACAUGCUGGAUUUAGAUUCUUGAAAUUAUUUUCUUAGAAUUCGAAACGGGAGUAUCGAGGCAAAUGUUUUGAAGCAAGACCCG
rnacentral:lncRNA from 1 species